AAUUAAGUGUCACUAACCUGUCUAUUCUAUUUUUCCGUCAUUACUUCCUGUUUUGUUUUGUGUACUCACUCUGUCUCAUUUCAGAUACUUUACUCCUGUCCUUGUGUUUCCCACCUGUGUGGUUGCCUACCCCGCCCUGAUUAGUUUCAUCUGUCCCUCAUUGUCCUUCUCAGGUAGGCUAAGUAAGUGUACGGUUAAGGCUAGAUGGGCUACAGCUACGGCGACGACUGUUGAAGUUUAAGCACCAAAACGACUUGUUAAGUUUAGGAAAAAAAGAUUGUGGUUUGGAUUAAAAACGACGAA